rnacentral:rRNA from 1 species
GACGAACGCUGGCGGCGCGCCUAACACAUGCAAGUCGAACGAGAAUCAGCUGAUGAAGUUUUCGAAUGGAUUCGGUUGAGGAAAGUGGCGAACGGGCGAGUAACGCGUGAGCAACCUACCUUGUACUGGGGGAUAACGUCGGGAAACCGGCGCUAAUACCGCAUAACAUUACGAUAGCGCAUGUUAUUGUAAUCAAAGCGUUAGCGGUACGAGACGGGCUCGCGUCCAAUUAGCUAGUUGGUGAGGUAAAGGCUCACCAAGGCGACGAUUGGUAGCCGAACUGAGAGGUUGAUCGGCCGCAUUGGGACUGAGACACGGCCCAGACUCCUACGGGAGGCAGCAGUGGGGAAUAUUGCGCAAUGGGGGAAACCCUGACGCAGCGACGCCGCGUGAAGGAAGAAGGCCUUCGGGUUGUAAACUUCUUUGAUCGGGGACGAAAAUGACGGUACCCGAGGAACAAGCCACGGCUAACUACGUGCCAGCAGCCGCGGUAAGACGUAGGGGGCGAGCGUUGUCCCGGAAUUACUGGCGUAAAGGCCGUGUAGGCGGCCUUUCAAGUCGGCUGUGAAAUACCCCGGCUCAACCCGGGGGGGUGCAGCGAAACUGGGGGGCUUGAUGCAGGAAAAGAAGGUGGAAUUCCCGGU